UUAUUUGUUUAGCACAUUUCAGCAACAAGGCAUUUCAAAGUGGUUUACAUCAUUAAAACAUCACACAGUCAUCAAUUACGAAAAACGCAAUAAACAUUACUUUUUGUCACAUGCUACGUUUCUAAGAUUUC